GUGAACGCUGGCGGUAGGCCUAACACAUGCAAGUCGAACGGCAGCACAGUAAGAGCUUGCUCUUACGGGUGGCGAGUGGCGGACGGGUGAGGAAUGCAUCGGAAUCUACUUUUUCGUGGGGGAUAACGUAGGGAAACUUACGCUAAUACCGCAUACGACCUACGGGUGAAAGCCGGGGAUCUUCGGACCUUGCGCGAUUGAAUGAGCCGAUGUCGGAUUAGCUAGUUGGCGGGGUAAAGGCCCACCAAGGCGACGAUCCGUAGCUGGUCUGAGAGGAUGAUCAGCCACACUGGAACUGAGACACGGUCCAGACUCCUACGGGAGGCAGCAGUGGGGAAUAUUGGACAAUGGGCGCAAGCCUGAUCCAGCCAUACCGCGUGGGUGAAGAAGGCCUUCGGGUUGUAAAGCCCUUUUGUUGGGAAAGAAAAGCAGCAGGUUAAUACCCCGCUGUUCUGACGGUACCCAAAGAAUAAGCACCGGCUAACUUCGUG
rnacentral:rRNA from 1 species